rnacentral:rRNA from 1 species
AUUGAACGCUGGCGGCAGGCUUAACACAUGCAAGUCGAACGGCAGCGCGGUCUGCGCCCGCUCUUCCAGGGGCCAACGGGCGGGUAAGUCAGCGGAACAUGCGCAUCUGCUUUUUAGAGCGCGGCGAAAGCGGGAAUAAUACCCCAAUCGACCUGAGGGUGUAAGCGGGGGACCAAAAGGCCUCGCGCCAUUGCGCGAUCCGAUGUCGGAUUAGCUAGUUGGUGGGGUAAAGGCGUACCAAGGCGACGAUCCGUAGCUGGUCUGAGAGGAUGAUCAGCCACACUGGAACUGAGACACGGCCCAGACUCCUACGGGAGGCAGCAGUGGGGAAUUUUGGACAAUGGGCGCAAGCCUGAUCCAGCCAUGCCGCGUGCGUGAAGAAGGCCUUCGGGUUGUAAACCGCUUUUGUUGGGGAAGAAAUGCUGUAGGCUAAUACCCCGCGGGGCUGACGGUACCGGAAGAAUAAGCACCGGCUAACUACGUG